CCUACGGGUGGCAGCAGUGGGGAAUAUUGGACAAUGGGCGAAAGCCUGAUCCAGCCAUGCCGCGUGUGUGAAGAAGGCCUUCGGGUUGUAAAGCACUUUCAGUGGGGAAGAAAGCCUUGGGGCUAAUACCCUCGAGGAAGGACAUCACCCACAGAAGAAGCACCGGCUAACUCCGUGCCAGCAGCCGCGGUAAUACGGAGGGUGCGAGCGUUAAUCGGAAUUACUGGGCGUAAAGCGCGCGUAGGCGGUCUGAUAAGCCGGUUGUGAAAGCCCCGGGCUCAACCUGGGAACGGCAUCCGGAACUGUCAGGCUAGAGUGCAGGAGAGGAAGGUAGAAUUCCCGGUGUAGCGGUGAAAUGCGUAGAGAUCGGGAGGAAUACCAGUGGCGAAGGCGGCCUUCUGGACCGACACUGACGCUGAGGUGCGAAAGCGUGGGUAGCAAACAGGAUUAGAUACCCCGGUAGUC
rnacentral:rRNA from 1 species